GGACGGGUGAGUAACGCGUGAGGAACCUGCCUUGGAGAGGGGAAUAACACAGAGAAAUUUGUGCUAAUACCGCAUGAUGCAGUUGGGUCGCAUGGCUCUGACUGCCAAAGAUUUAUCGCUCUGAGAUGGCCUCGCGUCUGAUUAGCUAGUUGGUAGGGUAACGGCUUACCAAGGCGACGAUCAGUAGCCGGACUGAGAGGUUGACCGGCCACAUUGGGACUGAGACACGGCCCAGACUCC
rnacentral:rRNA from 1 species